AGAAAAUCCCUAUUCCCCAUUUAUGAAAACCCCCUCUUCUUCAUUUUUUUCAUUUUCUGAAAACCCUAUUCCCUUUUCUUCACCCUAAUCUUCUUCACUCGAUUCACCUAAUUUCUAUGAUUGUGGGCUGCUGAGCAGGACUUGUCAAGUUAUUGUCUCUUUUUCCUCAUUCAGUCAGAUUAUCUGCUCAUCUUACUCUUCAUUCUAUGGAUCUUGUUACUGUAGACCAUGGAUUUUCUCUCCAUUUUUGCUUUCUGUCACCUUCUUUUUCUAAUAACUUCAUCUGUUAAGUGUUUCCUUUCUCCCCUUUUCUGAAAACCCUAAUCCUCUUUCUACGUUUUCAGAUUCUAACUUCAUUUCACUCCAUUUCGUGCAAGAGUUAGUUGGAGCAUCACAAGACUUUUGCUUUUGGCCUUCAUAAACCACAAGAGUUUUCACCAUUUUCGACCGUCGGCAAGAAAAUUUUCAAAUUUGGGGUUUCUUGUUAUGCAAGUGGAGGGUCCUGAAUAUGUGCAAAUGAGGGUGGGAUGACACAAACUAUCUCAUCCAUUGUUUGGUAAAGACUCGGUGAAGAAAGUGCAAAUUGAGUUGUUAGUGGUAUAUGCAAACCAGUUGCUUGAAAAGGAGUAAACUGGCUGCCAUGCCUCGCUCAGAGAUGACAAGGUAUUUUGCAGAAUCCCGCCAGUUGAUUUCUUAAAAAAUUUGUGCUCUGACAAUUUUCAAACAAAUCAUAUAUAAAUUUUCCAUUUAUUUUUGUAUUAGGUGGAUGAUCUUUCCAGAAUAUAUAGACUCUACCAUAAAAUACCUCAAACCUGUUUUUAGUAUAUUUAUAUAGGUGAGUUGGUUUAUUCUUCAAAAAGUGCAUCUGCUAUAUGAUCAUUUUCACUUGCUGAAACUUUUGAGAAUUUCCAUGGUGCGUGUGUUACUAAUGAGGGUCUUCCCUUAGUCAAUCAGGCUAUAGAUGCUGCAAACAACCAGGUUCAGUAUCUUGAUCCAUCUUUCUUCAACCCAGUAAAUUUUGCAUGCACUUAUCUCAAAAUAUUGUUGUAAUUUUUUUAAUUUGAAUUUUAUAAGCACAGAUUAUUCUUGUGUGGAUGUCGGUGAAUACAUUUUGCUUUUGACAUUUGGUGUUAAGGUGAAGAUCAUACAUAAAUGUUCAAGGAUUUUAAUUUUAUUCUUUAUGUGAUGUAAGGAAAAAUUUCAACUAAUUUAAAUCAAAUCGAGGAGGAUUAGGUUGAAAUUGAUAACAUAAAAUUUAAUUUUAUUCCCAGGUCAAUUAAUUCUGCUCAACUCUGUAUGGCUACUUCUUCAAUUCGUACCUCUUAUUCUUUCUUUUACUCUAACCAUGUUUAGCAUCUAUUGAUUUGAAUACCGAUUCUUUAAUUAUUAUGUGUUGGGAGGUUUUUUCGCUUCUGGACAAUUCUUCUGAAAAAUGCCUUGGGCACAAUGUACUGAAUUAUGAGUUUCAUCCCUUGGAAGUUUGUUGUCCAUUUUUUAUUACUCAGCGCUCAUUGAUGUUUUGGCUUAUGUGUGGCUCGUGCAUGUCACCAAUGCUAGUUAGGUUUUCAGUCUGGCUAAUUAGCACUGAUUUUUUGGGCACAUCAAAGAUUUGCCUACAAACAUAAGUUGCGUCAUUUUCUAUUGCUUUCAUUUCUCAUUGUUGUGAUGAAUUAGGAAAAUGUAAUGUAGGAGCAUGUGUCGUAAAGCUGUUGGGUUUCAAAAUAUGACUUGUUUUUAGCUUGUUUAUAUAAGAUAGGUGAGCUGUUCCUCAAGUCUACCCUACUCCAUUCUAAACCAGUGCUGGUUCCAAACAGCCAUCGUCGAUUUGGUUGGUCAGGUUCGGGUUCUGUCAACAACAUUUGAAACUUCUGAAAAUGAGGUUUGGAAGGUGGAAUUUUCUGGUUUAUUGAUUUGUCAUGAAUUUGGGAUUUCUAUAGAUGCUAAGUAGGAGAAGUUAACAAUGGCCAUACUUGGGGGAUUCAUGUAAAUGAUUUGACUUGUUUAAACAUGAGAAAUUCUGCCUUUCCAAGAAUCAAUUACAGCUUGUUACAUAAAAUUUUCAAGUCUACCAAAUAGUUCAUUUCCCAGAUAAUUGGUUUAAAACUAUUUGGAUUUGUUGCAAAGCUUCAAAAGGUACAUGACCUUCAAAAAGGAUUACAAUGAACAACUCCUGUAUCUCCCAACAGGGCUCGCCUGCUGCUGCACCUUGAAGAAAUCGUAUAUAGGUCAAGUUCAGGAAUUACCCAUAUUGAUGUGAAAGCGCAGGAGUUGCAAAGCAAGGCAUAGGAUUAUGAAAUCUAUAAUCUUAAACCAUUCUUUUCAAGCACUCAGUUCUCUGAAGCCCGCUUUAAGUUGGAUGCGGAGUGGGGUGUGAUGAGCAUCCCCUUGCAAGAUGAUGACAAAAUGUAACUAAAUUAAUAUUCAGACAGUAGAGUUUGCAAAAGCAAGCAAAGUUAAUGGUCCCAAAUUGUUCUGGUUAUUCAGAUGAAGCAGAGUGGAAUUCUACAUCAACCUAAAUCUCAUUGGUUCUUUAACGUAUUGAAAUUAAACAUGAUUUCUAUUUAACAAACAAAUUACAGUGAUUUGAAUGAGGAUGGGAUUAGUAUUGAA